GGCGCCCUGGACGGCCGGCGCGUCCCGGUGGCCACCGUCGACCCGCUGGGGCGCCCGGUGCGCGGCGAGGUCCUGCUCGUGGGCGCCACC
rnacentral:tRNA from 1 species